GACAGAGGCCCCGAGCGUUAGGCGGAAUCACUGGGCUUAAAGCGUGUGUAGGCGGGCCCGUAAGUGUCUUGUGAAAUCCCGCGGCUCAACCGUGGAACUGCUGGGCAUACUGCGGGUCUUGGGCCAACUAGGGGCAGCCGGAACAAGCGGUGGAGCGGUGAAAUGCGUAGAUAUCGCUUGGAACGCCGAAGGUGAAAACAGGCUGCUGGGGUUGCGCCGACGCUGAGACACGAAAGCCAGGGGAGCAAACGGG
rnacentral:rRNA from 1 species